AUUGAACGCUGGCGGCAUGCCUUACACAUGCAAGUCGAACGGCAGCACGGGUGCUUGCACCUGGUGGCGAGUGGCGAACGGGUGAGUAAUACAUCGGAACAUGUCCUGUAGUGGGGGAUAGCCCGGCGAAAGCCGGAUUAAUACCGCAUACGAUCUACGGAUGAAAGCGGGGGACCUUCGGGCCUCGCGCUAUAGGGUUGGCCGAUGGCUGAUUAGCUCGUUGGGGGGGUAAAGGCCUACCAAGGCGACGAUCAGUAGCUGGUCUGAGAGGACGACCAGCCACACUGGGACUGGGACACGGCCCAGACUCCUACGGGAGGCAGCAGUGGGGAAUUUUGGACAAUGGGCGAAAGCCUGAUCCAGCAAUGCCGCGUGUGUGAAGAAGGCCUUCGGGUUGUAAAGCACUUUUGUCCGGAAAGAAAUCCUUGGCUCUAAUACAGUCGGGGGAUGACGGUACCGGAAGAAUAAGCACCGGCUAACUACGUG
rnacentral:rRNA from 1 species